rnacentral:rRNA from 1 species
UCCCGCGGCGUAUUAGCUAGAUGGUGAGGUAACGGCUCACCAUGGCAAUGAUACGUAGCCGACCUGAGAGGGUAAUCGGCCACAUUGGGACUGAGACACGGCCCAAACUCCUACGGGAGGCAGCAGUAGGGAAUCUUCCACAAUGGACGAAAGUCUGAUGGAGCAACGCCGCGUGAGUGAAGAAGGGUUUCGGCUCGUAAAACUCUGUUGUUAAAGAAGAACAUAUCUGAGAGUAACUGUUCAGGUAUUGACGGUAUUUAACCAGAAAGCCACGGCUAACUACGUGCCAGCAGCCGCGGUAAUACGUAGGUGGCAAGCGUUGUCCGGAUUUAUUGGGCGUAAAGCGAGCGCAGGCGGUUUUUUAAGUCUGAUGUGAAAGCCUUCGGCUCAACCGAAGAAGUGCAUCGGAAACUGGGAAACUUGAGUGCAGAAGAGGACAGUGGAACUCCAUGUGUAGCGGUGAAAUGCGUAGAUAUAUGGAAGAACACCAGUGGCGAAGGCGGCUGUCUGGUCUGUAACUGACGCUGAGGCUCGAAAGUAUGGGUAGCAAACAGGAUUAGAUACCCUGGUAGUCCAUACCGUAAACGAUGAAUGCUAAGUGUUGGAGGGUUUCCGCCCUUCAGUGCUGCAGCUAACGCAUU